UACGAAGGGGGCUAGCGUUGCUCGGAAUCACUGGGCGUAAAGCGCACGUAGGCGGCUUUUUAAGUCAGGGGUGAAAUCCUGGAGCUCAACUCCAGAACUGCCUUUGAUACUGAGAAGCUUGAGUCCGGGAGAGGUGAGUGGAACUGCGAGUGUAGAGGUGAAAUUCGUAGAUAUUCGCAAGAACACCAGUGGCGAAGGCGGCUCUCUGGACCAGCACUGACACUGAGGCACGAAAGCGUGGGGAGCAAACAGG
rnacentral:rRNA from 1 species